rnacentral:rRNA from 1 species
GAUGAACGCUGGCGGCGUGCCUAAUACAUGCAAGUCGAGCGAACAGACGAGGAGCUUGCUCCUCUGACGUUAGCGGUGGACGGGUGAGUAACACGUGGAUAACCUACCUAUAAGACUGGGAUAACUUCGGGAAACCGGAGCUAAUACCGGAUAAUAUAUUGAACCGCAUGGUUCAAUAGUGAAAGACGGUUUUGCUGUCACUUAUAGAUGGAUCCGCGCCGCAUUAGCUAGUUGGUAAGGUAACGGCUUACCAAGGCAACGAUGCGUAGCCGACCUGAGAGGGUGAUCGGCCACACUGGAACUGAGACACGGUCCAGACUCCUACGGGAGGCAGCAGUAGGGAAUCUUCCGCAAAGGGCGAAAGCCUGACGGAGCAACGCCGCGUGAGUGAUGAAGGUCUUCGGAUCGUAAAACUCUGUUAUUAGGGAAGAACAAAUGUGUAAGUAACUAUGCACGUCUUGACGGUACCUAAUCAGAAAGCCACGGCUAACUACGUG